rnacentral:rRNA from 1 species
AUUGAACGCUGGCGGCAGGCCUAACACAUGCAAGUCGAGCGAGCGGCGGACGGGUGAGUAAGGUAUGGGGACUGCGCGAUAGAGGGGGAUAAAUACGGGAAACGGUAGCUAAUACCGCAUUCAAGCGGAUACCCCAUAUGGGAUUAGCUAGUUGGUGGGGUAAUGGCUCACCAAGGCGACGAUCCCUAGCUGGUCUGAGAGGAUGAUCAGCCACUCUGGGACGGAGACACCGCCCAGGCGCCUACGGAGGCAGCAGUGGGGAAUAUUGCACAAUGGGCGCAAGCCUGAUGCAGCCAUGCUGCGUGUAUGAAGAAGGCUUUCGGGUUGUAAACCUCUUUCGCUAUCGAACGGGUAGGUGGAGAAGAAGCGCCGGCUAACUACGUGCCAGCAGCCGCGGUAAUAC